UACAGAGGGGGCAAGCGUUAUUCGGAAUUAUUGGGCGUAAAGGGCGCGUAGGCGGCUUUGCAAGUGGCGGGUGAAAUCCCUCGGCUUAACCGAGGAACUGCCUGUCAAACUGCAUGGCUUGAGACCAGGAGAGGUGAGUGGAAUUCCCAGUGUAGCGGUGAAGUGCGUAGAUAUCGGGAGGAACACCAGUGGCGAAGGCGGCGACCUGGACAGAUAUUGACGCUGAGGUGCGAAAGCGUGGGGAGCAAACAGG
rnacentral:rRNA from 1 species